UUCAAUCAUAUAAACACAAACUUAUUUAUCCAAUGAAAAUCUUGAUAUCUAUGAAUCGAACAGUGAUGGAACAAAAAUAAACUCUCACGCUUAAUUAUUCUGAACAUGGAACUAAUUGGAACAAGGGAGUGCUAACAUAAUUUAAGUUCAAGCAUUUACAAACGAGAGAGAACAAAGAUACCAAGAAUAAACAUGAUUAAAAGUAAUCAUAAGAAUAUGCAAAUCCAAUCCCUAACAAAGCAGCGGUGAGAAUGAAAUAAAGAUCCGAAAAUUGAUGCCGAAAAACUUGAGAAAAAUCGAUCUAGACUGCGACCGGAAAACCUCCAAACCACGAACUCGAAACUCAAGCUCACUGGAAUUUUAGCCUGGAUGGCAUAAUCUUUUCACUAAUUGAAUGAAUUUUGUGACAAAAGAAGGUUAUUUCAAAAUGAUGAAGAUGGAGGAUAGAGGUGAUGGAAAAUCCCAAGAUUUGAGUCCCU
rnacentral:lncRNA from 1 species